CACGUAGGGUGCGAGCGUUGUCCGGAAUUAUUGGGCGUAAAGGGCGCGUAGGCGGUGUGUCACGUCGGCCGUGAAAACCUGCAGCUUAACUGUGGCGUGCGGUCGAUACGGGCAUCACUGGAGUUCGGCAGGGGAGACUGGAAUUCCUGGUGUAGCGGUGAAAUGCGCAGAUAUCAGGAGGAACACCGGUGGCGAAGGCGGGUCUCUGGGCCGAUGACUGACGCUGGAGGAGCGAAAGCGUGGGGAGCGAACAGG
rnacentral:rRNA from 1 species